UACGGAAGGUCCGGGCGUUAUCCGGAUUUAUUGGGUUUAAAGGGAGCGUAGGCCGGUCUUUAAGCGUGCCGUGAAAUUUUGUGGCUCAACCAUGAGAGUGCGGCGCGAACUGGAGACCUUGAGUGCGCGGAAGGCAGGCGGAAUUCGUGGUGUAGCGGUGAAAUGCUUAGAUAUAACUUAGAACUCCGAUAGCGAAGGCAGCUUACCAGACUGCGACUGACGCUGAAGCACGAGAGCGUGGGUAGCGAACAGG
rnacentral:rRNA from 1 species